UGGGGGAUCGUCUAACGGUAGGACAGCAGCCUUUGAAGCUGUGAAUCUUGGUUCGAUUCCAAGUCCCCCAGCAA
rnacentral:tRNA from 2 species